UACGUAGGGUGCGAGCGUUGUCCGGAAUUAUUGGGCGUAAAGGGCUCGUAGGCGGCCAACUAAGUCAGACGUGAAAUCCCAUGGCUUAACCAUGGAACUGCUUGGCAUACUGGCGGUCUUGAGCCACUUAGGGGCAACCGGAACAAAUGGUGGAGCGGUGAAAUGCGUAGAUAUCAUUUGGAACGCCAAUGGUGAAAACAGGUUGCUGGGAGUGUGCUGACGCUGAGACACGAAAGCCAGGGGAGCGAACGGG
rnacentral:rRNA from 1 species